UGUAACGAGAUCUUCGGAUCUAGUGGCGGACGGGUUAGUAACGCGUGGGAACGUACCCUUCACUACGGAAUAGUCCUGGGAAACUGGGUUUAAUACCGUGUACGCCCUUCGGGGGAAAGAAUUUCGGUGAGGGAUCGGCCCGCGUUAGAUUAGUUAGUUGGUGGGGUAACGGCCUACCAAGACUACGAUCUAUAGCUGGUUUGAGAGGAUGAUCAGCAACACUGGGACUGAGACACGGCCCAGACUCCUACGGGAGGCAGCAGUGGGGAAUCUUAGACAAUGGGGGCAACCCUGAUCCAGCCAUGCCGCGUGAGUGAUGAAGGCCUUAGGGUCGUAAAGCUCUUUCGCCUGUGAUGAUAAUGACAGUAGCAGGUAAAGAAACCCCGGCUAACUCCGUGCCAGCAGCCGCGGUAAUACGGAGGGGGUUAGCGUUGUUUGGAAUUACUGGGCGUAAAGCGCGCGUAGGCGGAUUAGUCAGUUAGAGGUGAAAUCCCAGGGCUCAACCCUGGAACUGCCUUUAAUACUGCUAGUCUUGAGUUCGAGAGAGGUGAGUGGAAUUCCGAGUGUAGAGGUGAAAUUCGUAGAUAUUCGGAGGAACACCAGUGGCGAAGGCGGCUCACUGGCUC
rnacentral:rRNA from 1 species